AUUCCAGCUCCAAUAGCGUAUAUUAAAGUUGCUGCAGUUAAAAAGCUCGUAGUUGAAUCUCGGGUGCAGGCUUGCGGUCCGUCUCGCGGCGGUCACUGCUCGUCCUGGCCUCCACGCCGGCGUACCGUCCCUUGGUGCUCUUGACUGAGUGUCUCGGGCGGCCGGAACGUUUACUUUGAAGAAAUUAGAGUGCUCAAAGCAGGCCUUGGCCGCCUGCAUAAUGGUGCAUGGAAUAAUGGAAUAGGACCUCGGUUCUAUUUUGUUGGUUUUCGGAGCUCGAGGUAAUGAUUAACAGGGACUGACGGGGGCAUUCGUAUUGCGGCGCUAGAGGUGAAAUUCUUAGACCGUCGCAAGACGAACUACAGCGAAAGCAUUUGCCAAGCAUGUUUUCAUCG
rnacentral:rRNA from 1 species